rnacentral:pre_miRNA from 1 species
AGUGGAAUUGCUGGAUCAUAUAGUAAUUCUUGUUUAACUUUUUGAGAAACUGCCAAACUAUUUUCCACAGCAGAUGAACUAUUUUUCAUUUCUACCAGCAAU